UGGAGAUAAUGCUACUUACACUUGCACAAAAUUUCCUUCAACAAUUGUGGUAGGACAAAAGAAUUACACAGAGUAUGUUCGUGAAUGUCAAGCUUCUGCUGAGUGGAGUGGUGAUGAUAACGUGUCUUGUUGGUAUUCACCUGAACCUGAAGUGAGAAUAACUCCUGAUAAUGAAAGCAACGUAUAUUAUGACAAAGCAAACAUUAAACUAUACUGUGAAGGUAAUCGAGGAUAUCCAGCAUCCUCUGAUGAAUGGUAUAUUGCAACAUAUUGGAAUGAAACAAAAACAGCUAUUAGCAAUUCAUUGUCUUUGUCGCCUGCUUAUAAUAAGGCAAACAUUUCUUGUGAGGUUGCAAAUGAAUACACAAAAGAAUAUGGUGCUAAUGACAGAGUCUCUUCAAGUUCAAUUUAUCUUAG